GAUUGUGUAUAGAUAAAUGACAGCGCGCAUGUUCUCUAACGUUUCCCUAUUACACGCUUGCUAUUGCGAUCUUCGUGUUAACGCGAUAAGAAUGUCGAAACUUGUAGAAAGUUUCGGAAGUUUACAGUGUUACGGAAAAUCUCUGAGAUCAUUCGAAUGAUUUGAAAGAAUUAUCUCUCUUCAAAAUAGCAGUGACAUCCGUCGAAAUGAAGAUGAUUUGCGGAAAUAAAAAUAUAGUAGCAGCAGAUACACUCGAUUGAAAAUAUCUUAUCAGUUAGCUUUAACUACUUCUAUGAUAUAUGUACAUAUCCGGAAAACUACUCAGAAGAAAUACGAGCAAACGAUUAUCGCGUUCUGCGUAUCAUAUGUGUCUUAAUCGUAAAAAUAUUUUUCCAAGCUCUACGAGACGUGGGGGUCAAACUACAACGAACGCGUACGAAAGAUCAAUGUUUGCCAGUGAACUAACUAUGUUCGACUUACCUCGACAAUUGAUCAAUCUCUACUAGCACAGCCGACGUAACGCGCGCUGCUCAUGAAGAGUAUUUAUAGAGAUGGACAUUGAACAUUAACCAAAACGACAUUGUAACGUUUGGUGCAUCGGUUCACAAUGCGAAACUCGACGCGCAUUUUUAAAGGCGCCACGGUGGACUCUCUAAAAAAAGAUGUUUAUAAUAAGAUCCUGCAUAUACCUAAUAGAUGAAUCACGACUCUCUGCUGUAUUAAAAGCCUCCAUUCGUUGUUAGGUAUUUUCUCGUGGAAUUUCAACCCGUUCGGUACGCCGCAAUGGCUAUCCGACUUCGUUUGUCCUUCGCUCGCGACGCGAAUAAAUUCGUUGGAUCGCGGAACAACAGGUAGAGGCUCGUUAAAAUGUACAUCGUGGCUGAUGGUUUUAUUAAAUUAGCGACGAACGGUUUCUUCGUCGAUUCGAUUUAAAAGCAGAUGCAACAACACGCGCUGGCCGCAGUCGCGAGGCAAAGUAAAGCACGCGAAGGCAGAGACGACUCGAUUCCCUUGAUCCAACGGCACAGCGUUCUCUGUGUCACGUGCUUCUGUAUUUUACUUUUUCCCGCUUUUUCGGCUUUCUCGCUCGACCGUAUUACGUUGUAACGGCACUUUAGUUAAUUACCUUGGAGCACCAAUGGAACCAACCCUCCACUGUACGCCCACUCUUUAUGCAUAUCCCUCUCUACUUCGUUUCUCCUUCGAGUGGUUUUCGAUACUCUUCACUUUGUACUGUCCCCGAUAAUUCUACUCCGUGAAGCACGAUUCCAGACAGGUAAAUACGAAAUACAAGAAAAGAAAAAUAUAUGUAUAUAAAUACAAAAUACAUAUAUGUAUAAAAAUAUAGAUUUUUCUUUGGCAUUUUUCCCAAAGGUCUUACCUCUACCUCUUCGGGCCUUAUCGUUCCGGUGACUCGCUUUCUUUAAUUUUCCAUUUGUCGUUCCACUUUCCGCUUUCUUUGUUCCAUCCUAGUAGCAAUCUAAAAUAAACAUCUUGGAUGGUAC
rnacentral:misc_RNA from 1 species